UGGGGAAUAUUGGACAAUGGGGGCAACCCUGAUCCAGCAAUGCCGCGUGUGUGAAGAAGGUCUUCGGAUUGUAAAGCACUUUCGACGGGGACGAUGAUGACGGUACCCGUAGAAGAAGCCCCGGCUAACUUCGUGCCAGCAGCCGCGGUAAUACGAAGGGGGCUAGCGUUGCUCGGAAUGACUGGGCGUAAAGGGCGUGUAGGCGGUUUACACAGUCAGAUGUGAAAUCCCCGGGCUUAACCUGGGAGCUGCAUUUGAUACGUGUAGACUAGAGUGUGAGAGAGGGUUGUGGAAUUCCCAGUGUAGAGGUGAAAUUCGUAGAUAUUGGGAAGAACACCGGUGGCGAAGGCGGCAACCUGGCUCAUGACUGACGCUGAGGCGCGAAAGCGUGGGGAGCAAACAGGAUUAGAUACCCUGGUAGUCCACGCUGUAAACGAUGUGUGCUAGAUGUUGGGUAACUUUGUUAUUCAGUGUCGCAGUUAACGCGUUAAAGCACA
rnacentral:rRNA from 1 species